CGGCAACAGCUCAAAUUUGAAAUCUGGCCUCUCGGGGUCCGAGUUGUAAUUUGUAGAGGAUGUUUUGGGUACCGCCCCGGUCUAAAUUUCUUGGAACAGGUCAUCAUAGAGGGUGAGAAUCCCGUAUGUGGCUGCUUGUCUUCGCCGUGUAAGGCCCCUUCGA
rnacentral:rRNA from 1 species